rnacentral:lncRNA from 1 species
CUCUCUUAAUACCAUUUUAUAAUAUAACAUGCAAAUAAAAAUCAAGAGCGGAAGUUUAGAAUCAAACGCCCGCCAUUAAAGUGUUUUGCUAAUUUUGAUAUUUCGUAAAUCUCUGUAAUCAGUAGUGAUAGUGUAGCAUAAGUUUUUGCUACAGGCUCCAGGGAUCAAAAUUAUUUUAACAUUACUCUUUUAUUUCGUAUUUCCAUCAAAGAUGAAGGGAUGAGAAAUUGGCACACCUGCUGUCAGCUGGCAAAACGCGGCAGUCUUGAAAAUGUUGGACCAUAUGCUGGAAACAUAUUGAACAGCCACGUGUUCAACAUUUAGCCACGUGUUCAACAUCUUUUUAAGUGUAUACUCCAUGCACUUCCUGGUGUUGACGAAGCCUAUAAUUUUAUUGUUAUUUUUUUAUCUAGACCAAAAAGGACCAUGUACGUUUCUUGAGACUUGAUGCCCUCCUGUACUUUCUUCUCUUCCAAACUCGGCAUUUUGCUCAGUUUGUCAAUGACAGCUGAUUCUUACGUCUAAUACUGUUUUCUCGUUCCUUUCUGCUUGAGAAAGGUGAGAGCUUAUUUUUGUAUGCAAGGGAUAUGGCUCUCAAAUCAACUAACACUAUGGUGCAACCUUCGAUUCCAAAAGACUUAGCUAUGGGAUUCAUGUGUGCUUCCAAUGCCCUCUGUAGGUCUUUUCGCAAUUGGAAGUAUCUGUGCUGAUGUAAGAAUUCAGCCAUCAGAAUAUCCAGAACUAGAUGCAUUAUCUAUGCUUGAUGCCGCAAUGAAAGUCUUCCUGGCAAAGCGACUGGCAUCUAAGUAAGUAUAAAUAAGUUAUUUCGGUUUAUGUCUAUUGUUGUUUAUCAGCUUUGAUGUUUGAUAACUAAUGUUUCAUGUUUAUAUGAUUUGCCAGUCUCUUGUAUGUUGGAGUUCAAUUAUUUUGGUUUAUAUACUAAUUGUUGUUUACCCGCUUUGGUGUUGGAUAACUGAUGUCUCAUGUUAUAUGAUUUAGCAGUCUCUUGUGUAUUGGAGUUAAAUUUCACUUAUUACCUUGGUUAUACAGGUCAGGUAAUUGUGGUUUUUUGGUUAAUAGUUUAUGGCGACCAACAGAUCAAAAUAAAAAGUGUGUGGAAGAUCGGAGUACUCGUAUUAGAUAUUUUCUCUUAGAACUGAACGAUCGCAAAUUUUAGCACGCUUAAAAUCAUUUUCAUCUGUGGCAAAGAUAAGGUUAUGUUUUUUAGCUAAUUGUUUUAAGGUUAUGCUUAUGAUUGGGUGGAUGGUAAAUGUUAGCUACAUAGUAAAAGUAGCUGUUUUUACGAAAUACCUUAUUUGUGGUGCUUUCAAAGUGAAGUUGAAGCAUGGCAGUCCCAAACAUACCCUUAAGUCCUUUGGCUUGCCUGCAUCCAUUUCCUACUGAAUAAAAAUGUUGGGAAAAUAUGCUCUUUAAAAGCAUAUGUGUUUAUUUAAUUGUAAUAAACAAUUUUUUUGAUUAGUAAAAUAAAUGAGGUAUUUUAUUCAAAUAUCUUAAUUGCAUUAAUAUUUGUAUUAAAGUCCAUUUAAUCAUAUUAUAUGUAUUUAUGUGAUCACCAUGUGGAUUCACAGAAGACAUAAAUACAAGUUAUC